rnacentral:misc_RNA from 1 species
GAUGAAGAACGCAGCGAAAUGCGAUAAGUAAUGCGAAUUGCAGAAUCCGUGAGUCAUCGAAUCUUUGAACGCACAUUGCGCCCUCUGGUAUUCCGGAGGGCAUGCCUGUUCGAGCGUCAUUAUCACCCCUCAAGCCCGGCUUGUUGUUGGAUGCAGCACUUAUCCCGCUCCUCCCAAAGAUAAUGACGGCGUCUGCGACGACUCCUGUACACUGAGCUUUCGGGCACGUACACGGCUAGAAGUCCAGACCCGGUCGCCGUCCCCCCUGCGGGGACACCCAUUACCACAAGGUUGACCUCGGAUCAGGUAGGAAUACCCGCUGAACUUAAGCAUAUCAAUAAGCGGAGGA